UCAGAACCUCAAUCUCUUCCUGCAAGCCG
rnacentral:sRNA from 1 species